AACCAUAGAAACCUGCGGAGUACCUGCGGAAGGAUCAUUACAAGAAUCGAGGCUGACGGUGCCUACUCCCUAGGCUCCGUCCAGUCCCGCUCUCUACCUUGCCUACUGCACCGUUUGUUGCUUCCUGGCGGCGUCCCGUCGCCAGGGCCUUUUGAAAGCCAAGUAUAAGCAUUGAAACUUCUGACAUACACUAAAUCGUACAACUUUUAGCAAUGGAUCUCAGGUCGGAAGAGCACACGU
rnacentral:misc_RNA from 1 species